ensembl:lncRNA
GAGUUGAUAAGUAAUCCUCUGAGUGUGUUGGGUUGAAGUGUGGAACAUGAGCUUCGGAAAAACAGCAAGUCUUCUCUGCCCCUCCCUGACCUUCCCUCACCACCACUAUGUCUUACAAGCCAAGUGGCUUGCAGGUUGGAAGGGGUGAUGCACGGCGCAGAGCCCCAGAGAGAGGCUUUCCCAAUGACAGUCAUGCAAGAGAUACCACUUGGAUCGCACUGACUGUUGACAGUUCACCUGAAAUCUUUGUGUGUGUUUUCUUUCGACCUCUUAAAGGAUAACGCAUAACCAGAAAAGAGCACACCUGUCUUGACAUCUUUUGACACCGCCCAAAGCCUAACCUGAUUUCUGUCUCAAUCCUGACUCCUUUGCAGACCAUAUUUGCGUAAACGGGGGUUCAUCCAUCCAUCACCACAGUCAAGCUUCAGAACAGUUCUAUCACCACAAGGUGAUGGAGCUUCCUCCAGUACAUACUCUCUGCCAAGGCCAAGCCCAAAUCACAGCCCAUACUCAGACAAAGCAAAAGACUCCAGAGAAAAAAGUGGUGUCAGUCUCAGCGCAAUGAAGAACAGCUCUUCCUUCUACAGAAUUUUGGUUCAUCUAAUCAUCUUUGUUUCCACAGCUCUCUGAUGUCUUCAAAAAAGUAUGAUUUGGUAGUUUAUCAAGGUAUUUCUAGUUAUUACAAAGAGUGAUGCUCUUCUACUACUUAUGAUAUACUGCCCUGAGUUGGAUAUUCUACUUUAUACUACUACUUUUCUUUUUCCCCAUCAAAUUGCCUUGGAAAAAAUCGAAUAAUCACAUAAAUGUAAGUCCAUUUAUGGUCUCCAUUUUUCUGUUCCAUUGAUACAUGCCUGUACUUCUUCCAUUACUACAUGUUGAAAAUAUUGUAGGCUAUUGUAUGUCUUUAAAUAAGGCAAUAAAUCCUCCAAAUGUGUUUUUCUUCUUUAAGAUUGUAUUGCUUAUUCCAGAUUUUUUCCAUAUGAAUGAUAGAAUAAGUUUGUCAAUAUCUAGCAGAAAAACCUGUAGAGAUUUUGACUGUGAUUAUAUUUCACUUAUAUAUCAGUUUGAGAAGAAACAACUUCUUAACAAUAUAAUGUCUUCCAAUUCAUUAGCAUGCCUUAUUUCUCCGUUACUUAGAUUACCUUUAAUUUCUUCCAGUAAAGUUUUUUACUUUCUGUGUAGAGGUCUUUCAAGUCUCUUGUUAAAUGUAUUCCUAAGUAUUUUAUGUUUCUUUUAAUGCUAUUAUAAAAUAAAUUGUUUUAAAUAUCAUUUUCCAAUGGUUUGCUAUGAAAAUAUAAAAACUAAAUUGAUUUUUGUGUUGACCUUGUAUGUUGUGACUUUGUAGAAUUCAUUUAUUGGUUUUAAAGUGGCUUUAUUUUCAUAAUAUUCUACACAAUCUUAUCAUCUGUGUAAAAAAAGAAUUUUGCUUCUCCUUUUCCAAACUUAGUGCCUUUUAUUUCAUCAUCUUGCUUUAUUGUAUUAAGAUCUACAAUACUAUGUUUAAUAAAUGAGUGAGAGCAGACAACCUUGCCUUCUUAAAAUCCUAAGGAGAAAGCAUACAUUUUUCACCAUUAAGUAUAAUAAAUCUGCAGAGUUUUCAUGAAUAUCCAUUUGUUGCUUGCUAGACAUUUUUUGGCCAUAAAUAG